rnacentral:lncRNA from 1 species
CAAACCCUUGACCACAGAACCAGUCUCAAGAUUUAUACAUCACAUGAAUAAAUAAGCUUUCCAUUGAUGUAUGGUUUAUUAGGAUCAGACGGGAUUUGGCCGAGAUACAGCUAUUUGAAAAUCUGGAAUCUGAGGGUGCAAAAAAAUAAAAAUACUGAAAAAAAAAGUCUUUACAUUUGUUCAAAUUAAGCUCUUAGCAAUGCAUAUCACUAAUCCAAAAAGUAAAAAAGUUUUUUAAGUGCUAUUCAACCCAGCCAUUUCAGUAGGUUAUAUAUCUGUUGAUUUAACUGUAAAACUAGUACUAGAAGCAUCACUGAGCUCACUCUCUGUGGUUUCAGGCGGCUGAACUGGCGCUGAAGGCUAAUGUGCACCUUACAGAUCUGGAUGAGGAGAUUUUCGAUGGCGAUGACUUUUACCACCAGCUACUUCGAGAGCUUAUUGAGCGCAAAACAAGUGCGACAGACCCCAAUGAUCAAGUGGCCAUGGGAAAGCAGUGGCUUGCCAUCCAGAAACUACGUAGUAAAAUCAAGAAGAAGGUGGACACCAAAGCUAGCAAAGUCAGGAAGAUCAGGUUUCACAUUCACAGUGAGCUGAUGAAUUUCAUGGCUCCAUUAGACACCAGCAGCAUGAGUGAUGAAGCCGGUGAGUGACGUCUUAGUUCUCCUCAUGUCUGAUUUUUUCUUUCUGCUGAAACGUCAGACGUCUGAUCAUACACACACACACACACACCCUCACAUUCGUAAGAUAUAUAAAGUUGUCUAAAGGCAUAGUUCACACACUAAUGAAAAUCUGUCCCAUUCACUCAUCCUAAAGCUGUGGAACAUGGAAACACUAUAUUCUAAAUCAUAGCUUCAUGUGAUGAACAGCCUGAAAAUCUUAUUAGAGCAGCUAGAACAUUCUGCUAAAUGUUCCAUGAAAAAAUAGAAAACAAGUGGGUUUGGAAAAAAUGAUGACAGCGUUCAUUUUUAAGAGUGACCUGUCCUUUUAACUGUCAGUGUUGUCAGUAUAUGAUUUGAGCGGGCCUUUAUGCCAGUCUGUGUUACUGUGCCGUGGGGACACCAGCAGGAAGUUGUAGGUGUGUGUGUGUGUGUGUGUGUUUAAUUAAUGGUUCAGUUGUGUGUUUCUCUGUCCUGUCAGAGAGCCGUAAUCCUCCUCAAACAGAGAACACGCUAAUCAAACACACUGUGGAGAUAUGCACAUACACAAACACUCACACAUUUCAAAGAUUUAACUUUUAAUCCCCCUUCUCUCUUUGCUUUUGUUUUGUUUUCCAGUGGUUCCAUUCCCUGAACUAAAAAUCUCUGCUUCAGUAGCACGUUUACACUAAAACAACCACCAAAAACAACCACCAAAAUAAAGCAAGAAUUUUGAACCUGGCUUUAUCCAAUUUUCAGGUUUCUGUUCUGGAAAUUUUGGGAAAUUAGUGCAUAUUUGAUUAGAUAAUGGUUAUAUCUAAACUUGUAUUUUUGC